UACGUAUGGAGCAAGCGUUAUCCGGAUUUACUGGGUGUAAAGGGUGCGUAGGCGGCACAGCAAGUCAGAUGUGAAAGACCGGGGCUCAACCCCGGGGCUGCAUUUGAAACUGCCGAGCUUGAGUCCGGCAGAGGCAGGCGGAAUUCCUAGUGUAGCGGUGAAAUGCGUAGAUAUUAGGAGGAACACCAGUGGCGAAGGCGGCCUGCUGGACCGGAACUGACGCUGAGGCACGAAAGCGUGGGGAGCAAACGGG
rnacentral:rRNA from 1 species